rnacentral:rRNA from 1 species
GUCGACCUCGGAUCAGGU